rnacentral:tRNA from 1 species
NNCUGGGAGAGCGCUUGCAUGGCAUGCAAGAGGUCAGCGGUUCGAUCCCGCUUAGCUCCACCA